GACGAACGCUGGCGGCGUGCUUAACACAUGCAAGUCGAACGGAAAGGCCCUGCUUUUGUGGGGUGCUCGAGUGGCGAACGGGUGAGUAACACGUGAGUAACCUGCCCUUGACUUUGGGAUAACUUCAGGAAACUGGGGCUAUUACCGGGUAGGAGCUCCUGCUGCAUGGGGGGGGUUGGAAAGUUUCGGCGGUUGGGGAUGGACUCGCGGCUUAUCAGCUUGUUGGUGGGGUAGUGGCUUACCAAGGCUUUGACGGGUAGCCGGCCUGAGAGGGUGACCGGCCACAUUGGGACUGAGAUACGGCCCAGACUCCUACGGGAGGCAGCAGUGGGGAAUAUUGCACAAUGGGCGGAAGCCUGAUGCAGCAACGCCGCGUGCGGGAUGACGGCCUUCGGGUUGUAAACCGCUUUCGCCUGUGACGAAGCGUGAGUGACGGUAAUGGGUAAAGAAGCACCGGCUAACUACGUG
rnacentral:rRNA from 1 species